UACAGAGGUCCCAAGCGUUGUUCGGAUUCACUGGGCGUAAAGGGUGCGUAGGCGGUCGGGUAAGUCUGAUGUGAAAUCUCACAGCUUAACUGUGAAACUGCAUUGGAUACUAUUCGGCUUGAGAGUUGGAGGGGGGACUGGAAUUCUCGGUGUAGCAGUGAAAUGCGUAGAGAUCGGGAGGAACAUCAGUUGCGAAGGCGGCUCUCUGGACCAGCAUUGACACUGAGGCACGAAAGCGUGGGGAGCAAACAGG
rnacentral:rRNA from 1 species